AUGUUGGAAUUGGGCAAGUGGUUGCUGGAAGGUGGAUUCGAUGUCAUUCCCCGACUAGUUUGGUUUGAUGCGAAGGAUAUGGGAAGCAUGGGGAAAAUCCCCCUGUUGACUCGUUACAAAGACGAGGGCUAUGGUGUUCAUGUCGGCCCUGUUCACAGACUCAUAAUGCCCAUAUGCAAUGGUGGAUUCAAUCCGAUGAUUCUUCGAUGCAAGCCUUGGCGUUGCUGGUUUUCUGUUGCUCACUCACUCUCUCCUCUCGCUCCGUCCUCUCCUCUCCCCGCACAGUUUCCGAUUGAAUCCGGUGCAAUGUCGAGCUCCAAUAGCAGCUCCGACUCCUACCUGGAUCUGGACUAUGAGCUUGCCCUCCGCAUCGCCUUGGAGCGGUCGAAGGUGGAGACCGGGGGUAGCUCCGAUAAUUUGGUGCAUGAGGUGCGCUCCAAAUUUCAUACCAUUCGGACAUCUGCUCUCGGCAAAAAUGACAAAUUUGGGUUAAUGAAACUGGCGAUGUGGGGCUAUAGUUUCCAGGUACAGCUUACCCGUAGCACUAGCAGCAGGCCGCCGUCUGCUCCCGCUCCACCGGUACCAAACAAGCCCGGUACGUGGAUCAGGCCCACAGAAAAUACGACACAGUCCCUCUCGUGGACGGCCCAGGUUACACAGGCCCGCUCGUACCCAUCGCGCUCCCGUGAACGAGACGGACUCAGACCUCGUCUCGGGGCGCGACGGCCGCCGAGAUCCGCGCCGCGCAGCCUCGCCGCCGCGUUCGACGAGGGAGCUCGGGCACGCAAGAUCCGCGCCGCGCAGCCUCGCCGCCUAUCGAGAGACGACCCGGACGGCGCCGCCAUCCCGGCGCUCCUCGACUCCCGCUUCGACGGCGACAAGCUGGACGCCCUUAAGCACCUUCUCGCCCUCAUCUCUCGGGGCGUCGACGUCGCCCACCUCUCCCCGCAGGUUGGCACUUUUGGUCUGUGCGUGAUUGCACUCAUGAUGCUGCACGGGGAAGAGAUGAGCAUCGCUAAGCUCUUCACCACGCUGCUGAACCCGGGCUCCAACGGGAACCACGUAGGCGACCUCCGGAGUCUCCGGGGAUCGUUCCAGGAUUACAUGUGCAGCAACUAUCAGCUGGUGGUCAAGCUGAACCAGCUGCUGGAUCUGAGUGCCCUGGUCCUGCCUGUGCCUGCUGCUGCCCACGGUGCAGCGUUCUGGGGCGACAUAAUAUCCAGCGUUUGUCAGGUUGAGGCCCUGGAUUAG
rnacentral:rRNA from 1 species